rnacentral:rRNA from 1 species
UACAGAGGUGGCGAGCGUUGUUCGGAUUUACUGGGCGUAAAGCGUGCGUAGGCGGUUCCGUGUGUCGAGUGUGAAAUCCCUGGGCUCAACCCAGGAAGUGCGCUCGAAACUGCGGUUCUCGAGCGGAGUAGGGGAGAGCGGAAUUCAUGGUGUAGCGGUGAAAUGCGUUGAUAUCAUGAAGAACACCGGUGGCGAAGGCGGCUCUCUGGAAUCCUGCUGACGCUGAGGCACGAAAGUUGGGGGAGCAAACAGG